rnacentral:rRNA from 1 species
UGGGGAAUAUUGCACAAUGGGCGCAAGCCUGAUGCAGCCAUGCCGCGUGUGUGAAGAAGGCCUUCGGGUUGUAAAGCACUUUCAGCGAGGAGGAAGGGUAGUGUGUUAAUAGCACAUUGCAUUGACGUUACUCGCAGAAGAAGCACCGGCUAACUCCGUGCCAGCAGCCGCGGUAAUACGGAGGGUGCAAGCGUUAAUCGGAAUUACUGGGCGUAAAGCGCACGCAGGCGGUUUGUUAAGUCAGAUGUGAAAUCCCCGCGCUUAACGUGGGAACUGCAUUUGAAACUGGCAAGCUAGAGUCUUGUAGAGGGGGGUAGAAAUUCCAGGUGUAGCGGUGAAAUGCGUAGAGAUCUGGAGGAAUACCGGUGGCGAAGGCGGCCCCCCUGGACAAAAGACUGACGCUCAGGUGCGAAAAGCGUGGGGAGCAAAACAGGAUUAGAUACCCUGGUAGUCCACGCUGUAAAACGAUGUCGACUUGGAGGUUGUGCCCUUGAGGCGUGGCUUCCGGAGCUAACGCGUUAAGUCGACCGCCUGGGGGAGUACG